rnacentral:rRNA from 1 species
GAGAGUUUGAUCCUGGCUCAGGAUGAACGCUAGCGGCAGGCCUAAUACAUGCAAGUCGAACGGGAUCCAGAAGCUUG